AAUUGUUUUGCAGAUGUAUACAAGUUUGAGAAAAUCGAUUUUGUUUUUAACAGAGAUCGUAGCAAUUUGGAUUCAAUAACGAUUUGUGGAAUAUAUCAUUUGUCAUGCUGAGAUUUCAAUUAUCUUUGUAGAAGAAACUAAAAAUUCCUGAGAGGUUGUUGCUGCAAAUUCUCAAUCUGAGAAGAGUUCGCCCAGCAGAAAUUCCAAGACCAAGACCAAGACCAAGACCAAAGCAAAGCAGCAAAACCUUCAAUAUGCCUCCAAUGGCGGUGGUGGCUCUACAGUCACCGAAGCAUUCAGAGAAAGUGGAAAGGGAGUUACAAAGCACUCGGAAUCUUGCGGGAUGGGCGAGACGGUAAGAGAGAGAGAAAGAGAGAGUUCUCUCGAAGAUCGAUCGAUCGAUUGAUUCUCUUUCCGACUCCGCCCAUUCCAUUGGAUUCCGAUUGCUCCUCCCUCUCCUCCUCUCUCCUUUCACAA